UUAAGUUAUUAAGGGCGCACGGUGGAUGCCUUGGCACUAGAAGCCGAUGAAGGACGUUACUAACGACGAUAUGCUUUGGGGAGCUGUAAGUAAGCUUUGAUCCAGAGAUUUCCGAAUGGGGAAACCCAGCAUGAGUUAUGUCAUGUUAUCGAUAUGUGAAUACAUAGCAUAUCAGAAGGCACACCCGGAGAACUGAAACAUCUUAGUACCCGGAGGAAGAGAAAGAAAAUUCGAUUCCCUUAGUAGCGGCGAGCGAAACGGGAAGAGCCCAAACCAACAAGCUUGCUUGUUGGGGUUGUAGGACACUCUAUACGGAGUUACAAAGGACGACAUUAGACGAAUCAUCUGGAAAGAUGAAUCAAAGAAGGUAAUAAUCCUGUAGUCGAAAAUGUUGUCUCUCUUGAGUGGAUCCUGAGUACGACGGAGCACGUGAAAUUCCGUCGGAAUCUGGGAGGACCAUCUCCUAAGGCUAAAUACUCUCUAGUGACCGAUAGUGAACCAGUACCGUGAGGGAAAGGUGAAAAGCACCCCGGAAGGGGAGUGAAAUAGAACCUGAAACCGUGUGCUUACAAGUAGUCAGAGCCCGUUAAUGGGUGAUGGCGUGCCUUUUGUAGAAUGAACCGGCGAGUUACGAUUUGAUGCAAGGUUAAGCAGUAAAUGUGGAGCCGUAGCGAAAGCGAGUCUGAAUAGGGCGUUUAGUAUUUGGUCGUAGACCCGAAACCAGGUGAUCUACCCUUGGUCAGGUUGAAGUUCAGGUAACACUGAAUGGAGGACCGAACCGACUUACGUUGAAAAGUGAGCGGAUGAACUGAGGGUAGCGGAGAAAUUCCAAUCGAACCUGGAGAUAGCUGGUUCUCUCCGAAAUAGCUUUAGGGCUAGCCUCAAGUGAUGAUUAUUGGAGGUAGAGCACUGUUUGGACGAGGGGCCCCUCUCGGGUUACCGAAUUCAGACAAACUCCGAAUGCCAAUUAAUUUAACUUGGGAGUCAGAACAUGGGUGAUAAGGUCCGUGUUCGAAAGGGAAACAGCCCAGACCACCAGCUAAGGUCCCAAAAUAUAUGUUAAGUGGAAAAGGAUGUGGCGUUGCCCAGACAACUAGGAUGUUGGCUUAGAAGCAGCCAUCAUUUAAAGAGUGCGUAAUAGCUCACUAGUCGAGUGACACUGCGCCGAAAAUGUACCGGGGCUAAACAUAUUACCGAAGCUGUGGAUUGUCCUUUGGACAAUGGUAGGAGAGCGUUCUAAGGGCGUUGAAGCAUGAUCGUAAGGACAUGUGGAGCGCUUAGAAGUGAGAAUGCCGGUGUGAGUAGCGAAAGACGGGUGAGAAUCCCGUCCACCGAUUGACUAAGGUUUCCAGAGGAAGGCUCGUCCGCUCUGGGUUAGUCGGGUCCUAAGCUGAGGCCGACAGGCGUAGGCGAUGGAUAACAGGUUGAUAUUCCUGUACCACCUAUAAUCGUUUUAAUCGAUGGGGGGACGCAGUAGGAUAGGCGAAGCGUGCGAUUGGAUUGCACGUCUAAGCAGUAAGGCUGAGUAUUAGGCAAAUCCGGUACUCNNUAAGGCUGAGCUGUGAUGGGGAGAAGACAUUGUGUCUUCGAGUCGUUGAUUUCACACUGCCGAGAAAAGCCUCUAGAUAGAAAAUAGGUGCCCGUACCGCAAACCGACACAGGUAGUCAAGAUGAGAAUUCUAAGGUGAGCGAGCGAACUCUCGUUAAGGAACUCGGCAAAAUGACCCCGUAACUUCGGGAGAAGGGGUGCUCUUUAGGGUUAACGCCCAGAAGAGCCGCAGUGAAUAGGCCCAAGCGACUGUUUAUCAAAAACACAGGUCUCUGCUAAACCGUAAGGUGAUGUAUAGGGGCUGACGCCUGCCCGGUGCUGGAAGGUUAAGAGGAGUGGUUAGCUUCUGCGAAGCUACGAAUCGAAGCCCCAGUAAACGGCGGCCGUAACUAUAACGGUCCUAAGGUAGCGAAAUUCCUUGUCGGGUAAGUUCCGACCCGCACGAAAGGCGUAACGAUUUGGGCACUGUCUCAACGAGAGACUCGGUGAAAUCAUAGUACCUGUGAAGAUGCAGGUUACCCGCGACAGGACGGAAAGACCCCGUGGAGCUUUACUGUAGCCUGAUAUUGAAAUUCGGCACAGCUUGUACAGGAUAGGUAGGAGCCUUUGAAACGUGAGCGCUAGCUUACGUGGAGGCGCUGGUGGGAUACUACCCUAGCUGUGUUGGCUUUCUAACCCGCACCACUUAUCGUGGUGGGAGACAGUGUCAGGCGGGCAGUUUGACUGGGGCGGUCGCCUCCUAAAAGGUAACGGAGGCGCUCAAAGGUUCCCUCAGAAUGGUUGGAAAUCAUUCAUAGAGUGUAAAGGCAUAAGGGAGCUUGACUGCGAGACCUACAAGUCGAGCAGGGUCGAAAGACGGACUUAGUGAUCCGGUGGUUCCGNAUGGAAGGGCCAUCGCUCAACGGAUAAAAGCUACCCCGGGGAUAACAGGCUUAUCUCCCCCAAGAGUUCACAUCGACGGGGAGGUUUGGCACCUCGAUGUCGGCUCAUCGCAUCCUGGGGCUGUAGUCGGUCCCAAGGGUUGGGCUGUUCGCCCAUUAAAGCGGUACGCGAGCUGGGUUCAGAACGUCGUGAGACAGUUCGGUCCCUAUCCGUCGUGGGCGUAGGAAAUUUGAGAGGAGCUGUCCUUAGUACGAGAGGACCGGGAUGGACAUACCUCUGGUGUACCAGUUGUCGUGCCAACGGCAUAGCUGGGUAGCUAUGUGUGGACGGGAUAAGUGCUGAAAGCAUCUAAGCAUGAAGCCCCCCUCAAGAUGAGAUUUCCCAACUUCGGUUAUAAGAUCCCUCAAAGAUGAUGAGGUUAAUAGGUUCGAGGUGGAAGCAUGGUGACAUGUGGAGCUGACGAAUACUAAUCGAUCGAAGACUUAAUCAA
rnacentral:rRNA from 1 species